UUAGGCGGACGGGUGAGUAACGCGUGGAAAACCUGCCGUAUACUGGGGGAUAACACUUAGAAAUAGGUGCUAAUACCGCAUAAGCGCACAGCUUCGCAUGAAGCGGUGUGAAAAACUCUGGUGGUAUACGAUGGUUCCGCGUCUGAUUAGCUAGUUGGUGGGGUAAUGGCCUACCAAGGCAACGAUCAGUAGCCGGCCUGAGAGGGUGAACGGCCACAUUGGGACUGAGACACGGCCCAAACUCCUACGGAAGGCAGCAG
rnacentral:rRNA from 1 species